rnacentral:rRNA from 1 species
UUAAGUUACUAAGGGCACAUGGUGGAUGCCUUGGCACGAGUAGGCGAAGAAGGACGCGGCUACCUGCGAUAAGCUACGGUGAGACGGAAGCAGUCUCCGACCCGUAGAUUUCCGAAUGGGGCAACCCAGGUGCGGUAAUACGCAUCUAUCUCUACCUGAACACAUAGGGUAGUUGAGGCAAACCCGGGGAACUGAAAUAUCUAAGUACCCGGAGGAAGAGAAAACAAUCAGUGAUUUCCUGAGUAGUGACGAGCGGAAGGGAAAGAGUCUAAACCGAUCAAUCUGUUAAUGGUGGCAACCGUAGGAUUGACGGGGUUGCGGGAUACAUUUAGGGUUUAUUGCCAGAGACCCGGUGAGUAAAAAAUCACAUUAUUAAUUGAACCGUCUGGGAAGGCGGGCCAUAGAGAGUGACAGCCUCGUAAGUGAAAAUAUUGUGACUCACCCGAAUGUACACCCAAGUACCACGAAAUAAGUGGAAGUUUGUGGGAAUCCGGGAGAACCAUCUCCUAAGACUAAAUACUCACUCGUGACCGAUAGUGAACCAGUACCGUGAGGGAAAGGUGAAAAGCACCCUUACUAAGGGAGUGAAAUAGUACCUGAAACCAUGUGCUUACAAACGGUUGGAGUCCCGAUUCAUCGGGAUGACAGCGUGCCUUUUGGAUAAUGAGCCUACGAGUUACUCGUCAGUUGUUGGUUAAGUUCUUCAGGAACGAAGCCGUAGCGAGAGCAAGUCCUAACCGGGCGAAUAAAUAAUAACUGGCGGUAGACGCGAAACCGGGUGAUCUACCCUUGGUCAGGAUGAAGUGAGGGUAAAACCUCAUGGAGGUCCGAACCAGUGUGGGUUGAAAACCGCUUGGAUGAACUGAGGGUAGGGGUGAAAGGCUAAUCAAACUCGGAAAUAGCUCGUUUUCCUCGAAAUAGCUUUAGGGCUAGCCUCGGACAAGAGUGUUAUGGAGGUAGAGCACUGAUUGGGCUAGGGCUGUCACAACGGUACCAAACCCAGACAAACUCCGAAUUCCAUGAACAUGUUCUCCGGGAGUCAGGCUGCGUGGGAUAAGCUGCGUUGCCGAGAGGGGAACAACCCAGACCACCAUCUAAGGCCCCCAAGUCACAGUUAACAGAUAAAGGAUGUUAAGUUGCUUAGACAACUAGGAUGUUGGCUUAGAAGCAGCCAUUCAUUUAAAGAGUGCGUAAUAGCUCACUAGUCAAGCGACUCAGCGUCGACAAUAAACGGGACUUAAACUGUGCGCCGAAGUUGUGGAAUAGAAUUAAUUUUUUAUUGGUAGAGGAACAUUGUAACAGCAGUGAAGGUGUAUUGCGAGGUAUGCUGGAGCGGUUACAAAAGAAAAUGUAGGCAUAAGUAACGAUAAAACAGAUGAGAAAUCUGUUCACCGUAAGUCUAAGGUUUCCUGAGCUACGUUAAUCGACUCAGGGUUAGUCGGGUCCUAAGCUGAGGCCGAAAGGCGUAGGCGAUGGGCAACGGGUUAAUAUUCCCGUACCGGUUAAAGACUGUUUGACUGUAAGGAGAGACGCAAAAGCGUAAGGUCAGCCAUCUGGUGGAUCAGAUGGUUUAAGGUGGUAGGCUGAGGAGUAGGCAAAUCCGCUCCUCAUAUAAAGCCGAGAGCCGAAUACGGUGGCGUAUGCCCGAAGUGGCCCUAAGCAUGUUGCCGAGAAAAUCUUCGUACAGGAGGUCUUUGUCCGUCCGUACCGCAAACCGACACAGGUAGACGGGAUGAGUAUUCUAAGGUGCUCGAGUGAGCCGUAGCUAAGGAACUCGGCAAAUUAACCCCGUAACUUCGGGAGAAGGGGUGCCCCUUUUGGUGAAUUAUUUACUAAGUAAACUGAGGGGGGCCGCAGUGAAAUGGCCCAAGCGACUGUUUAACAAAAACACAUGACUCUGCGAAGUCAAUCAAGACGAUGUAUAGGGUCUGACACCUGCCCGGUGCCGGAAGGUUAAGAGGAGAGGUCAGCGCAAGCGAAGCUUUGAAUUGAAGCCCCGGUAAACGGCGGCCGUAACUAUAACGGUCCUAAGGUAGCGAAAUUCCUUGUCGGGUAAGUUCCGACCUGCACGAAUGGUGUAACGAUUUGGGCGCUGUCUCAGCUACGGGCUCGGUGAAAUUGUGGUACCGGUGAAGACGCCGGUUACCCGCAUAUGGACGGGAAGACCCCGUGCACCUUUACUGCACCCUAAUAUUGGGUUCGGUUAAAGCAUGUGUAGGAUAGGUGGGAGGCUACGAAGCCGGCACGCUAGUGUCGGUGGAGCCAACGGUGAAAUACCACCCUUGUUUUAAUUGGAUUCUAACCUCGGCCCGUGAAUCCGGGUCAGGGACAGUGUUAGGCGGGUAGUUUGACUGGGGCGGUCGCCUCCUAAAAUGUAACGGAGGCUCUCAAAGGUUCCCUCAGCAUGGUCGGUAAUCAUGCGUAGAGCGUAAACGCAUAAGGGAGCUUGACUGCGAGACAUACAGGUCGAGCAGGUGCGAAAGCAGGAGUUAGUGAUCCGACGGCCGCGCGUGGAAGUGCCGUCGCUCAAAGGAUAAAAGGUACGCCGGGGAUAACAGGCUGAUCUUACCCAAGAGUUCAUAUCGACGGUAAGGUUUGGCACCUCGAUGUCGGCUCAUCGCAUCCUGGGGCUGGAGAAGGUCCCAAGGGUUUGGCUGUUCGCCAAUUAAAGCGGUACGUGAGCUGGGUUCAGAACGUCGUGAGACAGUUCGGUCCCUAUCCUAUGCGGGCGCAGGAUAUUUGAGAAGGGUCGCUCUUAGUACGAGAGGACCGGAGUGAACAUACCUCCAGUACGCCAAUUGUCACGCCAGUGGCAUAGUUGGGUAGCUGCGUAUGGUAGUGAUAAGCGCUGAAAGCAUCUAAGCGCGAAGCAUGCUUCAAGAUGAGAUAUCCCUCCUUAUGGACUAAAGGCUCCUCGGAGAUGACGAGGUUGAUAGGCUGCAGGUGUAAGUGUGGCAACACAUUCAGCUGAGCAGUACUAAUAAGCCGUGAGACUUACC